rnacentral:lncRNA from 1 species
GGACAUGUACAAUUCUGUGGUAUUGAGGACAUUCACACAGUUCUGCAACCAUCACCACCAUCCAUCUCCAGAACUUUUUCACUUUCCCAAACUCAACCUCUGAGCCCAUUAAACACUAAUGCACUGAUCCGGCUCUCCCCAGCCUCUGGCAACCACGGAGCCUCAUCUGAUUUUAACAUUCAAAGACCAAGCCUCACUCUCACUUUCAGGGUAAAGUACCUUCAUCUGCUAAACUCCCCUCCUGAGAAAAGACUGCCCAGGUAAAGCAGGCAGGAGCUGGAGUUUUAUAGAGCUGAGAGACAGGUCGAGGGGGCAAUUUUGGACAAUCAGAAGAUGAGAGGUGGGGGCGUGGGAGUGGGAGGAGAUUCUGAAAUAGAGAUGGGAAGGCAACGUAACUGCUUGCUUUGAAGUUUGGCCCGGGGCCUUGGGAGCAGUCGGUGCGUUCAGGUGCAAGGACUACUAAUCGUAAACUUCCACUCCUUUCAGUUCAAUGCUGAUUGCCUCUGGCUGCUAAGAGGCACGCGCCCAUGUGCGCGCGCACACACAAAGACAGUAGGAAGGAAGGGUGGCAAGGAAGAGAUAUAGAAACUUAAACGUCAGAGACUCAGGCCUCCCAGGAACCAAAUGCAGGAAUUUCCUUCACAAUACUCUUGACAGCUGGCCAUGCAGCACCUGUCCGAACACAUCCAAAGACAGGGGGACAACGGAGCCCUGACAUUCCAGAGAAGAACAUCCAGACAGCUUCAUAAAUCCCCAACCCCAUAAAUACAGAAAGAGUUGUAGAGCCUUCAGGCUUUUUCCUGAUUUUUUUUUUUCAAAUGCCUGACCCCCCCCCCCACUGCAAGUUAACCCCCUUUGUAACUUUCUCCAAAACUAUCUCACCAGAAAAAAUUUUGUCCUGGCUCAAGCAACUGCUAAAACUUUCAUGAACUUCCUUGUUUCCUGUGAAGCAUAUGGUGGCCUUAUUCCCACCACAGCCAAAUUUAUCAUUCUAGUCUCUCAUUCACCCAAACUCCUUUUUCUUUUUUUCUGGCUAAGACCUAGCCCUUCUUCAGACAUCUUGGCUUUUUCUUUCCUAACAUCUUCAUACGAGCAGCUCGUUAGUUAAGAGUUACAACUGAGCUGCAACUCAAGUCUGUACCUCAGCACAAUUACAAAUUACUACCUGUCAGGAACUUUAGGGAUGGCUUAAAGCUCUCAAAAAAAUCAGGGCAGUGUUAAAUCUGCAAAUUCUAAGUAUAUACUGUCUAUGUGGCUUUUUUUCCCUCCUCCUUCCCUCUAUUAACAGCAGCAUCCCACAUACUCUCAGGAUUUAUAGAACAAGUAACAAAAGCAUCUACUGUUAAAUACGUUUGCCCAUCUUCCCACCCAAUGUAGCCAGGAAAACCAUUUAGAACGACCUUGGAAGGUGAAUGUGGAAUCUGAUGGAGGGCUGGAAGGAGUACAUGAAUAGGAAAGAAGUGAAAGAAACAACAGGUAGCCAGGGGCUUUGGGCUGAUCUGGUUAAACGGUGCUGCCGUCCAAGGGCCCUGGGCUCCGGGGGCAGAGAACAGAGGGAGGUAAAAAACGAGACAGGCUGGAAGGAAGAGAGGUGGAGCUAAUUUCAAAAUAUCACAGGAAGACAGCCCUGCCCAUGCCCUCACCAGCUGUCCUUUAAUUACUCAAAUCUGCAGCUAAUGUUCCUUCUACUACCUUGAAUCUCACCAGCCGGAGGGACUUGUGUCAGCAAAGUCAAGUCCUCUGAGAAGCUGGGCUGGUGGUAAUUAAAAAAGAGGGGAGGAUCAAGAUGAGAAAGGAAAAUCACAGAUUAUAAGCUGGAAGCAGACCCUGGCCAAAAAUCUGGAAGAAUUCUUUAUUUCACAGGACUGUUGUAAGGAGCUAGUGAGAAUGCAGAUGAAGGUGUUCUGCAAAUAAAGUUCUACAGUGGCCCCCCCCAUCCAAGGUUUCAAUUUCCGCAGUUUCAGUUACCCACGGUCAACCGCAGACGUCAUCUGCCCCUGACAUCCAGUCAUCCACAGUGUCAUGGCCAGAUGAUCCUCCUUCAGGGGAAUGGUCAGAAGGUCAAUAGUAGCCUAAGGCUACGUCACAAUGCCCAUGUCAUUCACCCCACUUGAUCUCAUCACAUGGGCACUGUAUCCUCUCACAUCAUCACAAAAAGGGUGAGAACAGCGCAAUAAGAUAUUUUGAGAGAGACAGACCACAUUCACAUAACAUUUAUUAAAGUAUAUUGCUAUAAUUAUUCUAUUGGGUUAUUACUUAUUAUUAUUUAUUACUAGUUAUUGUUGUUAAUCUCGUGCUGUGCCUACUUUAUAAAUUAAACUUUAUCAUAGGUCUGUGCAGGAAAAGAUACUAUAUAGAGGGUUUGGUACUAUCCGCGGUUUCAGGCAUCCGCUGGGGGUCUUGGAACGUAAGCCCCAUGGAUGAGGGGGAUACUGCAUACAAACAUGCUACUAUUAAAGAGCCUGACGACGAGCAAGAGUCGGAAAGUGGGGCUUUUGACGGCUCAGCACCACUUCUUCAGAAAGUGACAUCUAAGUAACUUCAUGUCUUUCUUCAAAAGUAAAAGUGGCAGUUUGGGGAAAGGUGGCAUACCUGGCUUAUCUGACUUCACAAGGAAAGCUUUCAAUGAGAUUUCAAUGUGGACAAGACGGAGACCUGAGGGCUGGAGAAGGUGAACCGCUAAGUGGCCAAACCAACAUGGGUGCAAAGUGCGGAUUAUUGGACGAAUAUUCAUCCAGAAGGCAGUUUCACUCUGUGUUCUAAACAAGUCUAUUCUGGUCAUGUUCAGCUCAACAUUAUUCUUAAUUCCCUUGAAAAAAGAUAUCGGGGAAUAUUAUAAACACGUACAGAUAUCACAAAACUAGGAGAAGACAAGUAAACGUUAUAAUCAGCCGUGCAAAUGCAAUAUUCAGAAUUUUUAUGAACUGUUUGCAUUUAAUCUCCAUACAGUAAAGCCAAGGCCUUAAACUGGUGAGCUGCAAAUGGGCUUUGUUUGGCUUACCCAAUGUUAAGAAAAAAAAUUUAGAUUGGCUAACAUGUAAAAAUUAGCUGGUUUCACAUAAAAAUCCAGAUUUUAAGCUUGAAAAAGCAGAAGACCUCAUUCCUGCAGGACAACAUCAGCUGGAGGGAGUGCUGCCUUCUCCCUUGGAUGGGCGUGGCCAUCCAUUUUGGGCACCCACAUGGCCCAGUUCACUCCACUUCACCUGCCUGGCCUCCUACUGGCAUUUGAGUUGGUGACUCCUGCAGUAAAUUAUUAGUUCAGAUUACUAAAUGUGUCCAAUUUACUGUAAAUUUUAUUUGAUUGUGCAUUAAACUCCAAUUCAAUCUUCUCCCUUGCAGGUUUUGCUCUUGCAAGAAGACCCAACAUCUGAUCACAAUGUCAUAAUUAUAACCCGUACAUUCAGAACAUCUCAGUUUUUCAGUGUGCUUUCCGAUCGUUUGAUUUAUUUGAUCAUCUCAAUGUUCUAGAAAGUCUAGGCUUAUUUUAUAAGAAAGAUCAACUAGUUAACAGGGACCAAAGGUAAGAUUUCAAUUCAGGGCUUGGGUUAAACCUUAAUCUACCAUUUCCCACCCCUACCAUGCACCCCUCAAUCCCCAAAGACAGCCCUCAUCCCAGGCUUUCCCAACCGGAGGAGAUGUGAAUCCAGAUUGCAAAGCCACUGGCUGCUCUGGAAAGAAGACGGUAUUUGGAAUCCUUGCUUUACUUCCCUUUUUAAUCUUCUAAAAAAAAACUGUAUAGUGUCUAAUCCAAAGACAGCUGAUUCUCAUUUACACUUAACCUGUGCUGAACUCACAUACUAAAUUUUAAAGCUCUGCUCUGGAAAAGGCAUUUUGCUCUUUAAGAUCUCCUUGGUAACACUCGUAAUUGGUAUCUAGGCUACAAAAAAAAAAGUUUGGAACCAAUCAGUGACUGGAGUUAGAAUAAAAUCCAAUUGGAAAUCCAGCUCAGGAAAGUUCCAGGAUGACAGCUGUGUAGCAGACUUCGAGAACAACCUGUCCAGAAUAGAGGAAGACUGGAAAAGUCCCAGGAAAGGGGGACUCUGCAAGAUUGUCAACUAUACACAGAGGAUGAAUUUCAACCUGCACACAAAGCACGAAUCACAGUUACGUAACAGAAUGUAAACAUCACCAACUGUGACAAGAUCACAAAGCACUGGACGCCUGAGUACAACAGUGACAUAAAAGCACAUUGACACUAAUAAUCACCAGGACUUUAUCUGCAAUGGGCCAGAGCUGCAGGACUACUGGGGACUCGAUAUGGAGAGGAAGGAUACACCUGACAGCUUACUCUGGGCUCUGUGUGCAUGAAUGACUGCCUAAGAGAUCGUACUCAUUCACUUUCCUGGACACUACGGGCUUCCCACGCAUUGAGCUAAUUUUGUAUAGUGCAUGUCCCAUGUACCAGACACUGUGCUAUAUGCUGGGACAACAAGCACUGGGAAUACGUAUUUUUAAAAGCUCCCCAGGUGACUCUGAAUAUCAGCCAGGGUUGAAAAUGACCACUUGGUGUUUCACAGGGAACAAGCUCUGUGGUAAACCUAACAGAACUGGGGUCCCAACAUCACCCCCCACCUCUCCCCGCUGCUCUCUGAGGUUGAGAACUGUAUUCCCUACAAUAAUAUGGAACUCACACUCAAAACAGGAGGAGCAGAGACCGAGUCUUCCUCUUCCCUCCACCAGGCUCCUUAGCUGCAGCCCCACCGCCCUUCCUCAAUCUGGAAAGGGCAGCAAAGUGAGGGAGUGUAUCCCCCGGAAGCCUGGGGACCCUGCCUGAUCUCUGGCCUGGGAGCAGUUGGGGCUAGCACAGCCAGACAUCAUCCAUCCUUCACCCCAGGGUGCAGGCCUCAGACGUCCAACACCUCAUGACAACAGCCAUUUGGCCAGCAGCUUCUGGGAGGAUAAUGCUGAGGCCAAAACUCAACAGGCAGAAGUAACUUGCCCCAAGUAUUGGUCCUGCUUGGAGGCAAAACAAUCAGUAGGUUGAUGACAGCCUGAUGCUUGAGAAAUCAUUUUUUUAAAAAGACGGGGGGGGGGGGGGGGUGGGGGGGGUUGAAGAUUGCUUAAAAGCAGCCCUUUAACUCAGAAGGCAGUUCCAUCCACCUUACAAAUUCAAUGCCCUCUGAAUACACAUCUAUCUGUCACAGCAGGGAAUCUUUUAACUAGCAAAAGAGCAAGAGAAGGAAUUCAGAUCAACAUCGCGGGCUGUAGCAAUAAAGCCCUGCCGUGGAUUCACCCCUUUCCCUCGAGGCAGGAAAGAAUCAAGGAAGAAUUUCAAAAUCUUUUUAUACAAUUAAAGAAAGGGAUUUGGUGGGAGAAGGGAGCAAGGAGGACAAGAUCAAGAAUGUAAGGUUUGCUAUUUUAAGCUCAAAAUAAAUCAUGAUAAGAAAGGACUAGAAGGUUUGAUUUUAUUUCUCAGAUCUUCUCCAUGGCAGGAACAGUAUCUGGUGUUUGGGGGAGGGGGGGGCAAACUGUCAGGCCAGCAUCAGUCUUUUCACCCCCUCAUCCAGUUCCCCCAAAAUAAAACCAGUCUGUCGUGUGCUUCCAGAAUUUUACAAUCUUGAAUUACGGCUUUGAAAUAAUUCGGAUUCCACUAUAACAAAUCUCAGAGAUAUGAGGCAGGCUACAAAGAAAAUCCAGCAAAAUAUAUCCAAAGAACUGUAUCCAAGAUGGUAGCAGGAAAAAGAACCAGACAAUAUGAUAAAUUUGGCACACGAGGACCAGCGAAUGACGUACCAAACCAGUAAAGACAGCUCCCUAAGAAAUACACAUUCACGGGGCCGGCCCCGUGGCCGAGUGGUUAAGUUUGUGUGCUCCGCUGCGGCGGCCCAGGGUUUGGAUCCUGGGCACGGACAUGGCACCACUCAUCAGGCCACGUUGAGGCGGCGUCCCACAUCCCACAACUAGAAGGACCUGCAACUAGGAUAUACAACUGUGUACAGGGGGGGUUUGGGGAGAUAAAGCAGGAAAAAAAGAAAAAGAUUGGCAACAGUUGUUAGCCCAGGUGCCAAUCUUUAAAAAAAAAAAAGGAAAUACACAGUCACUAUUUCCCAAAACUAUUUUAGAACCCACUCUUGUCAACCAUUACUUUCUAGAAGCCUAACUUUUACAACAUCCAAUCCUUGAUCAUUUAUGAUACAAAAGAAAACAAAAGCGGGUGGAACCAUAGUACUGUGCAUUAUAAAAAACAUUUCCUUGAGAGAACCAAAGUUCUGAAGAUACAUACAUCAGUCAGCUGCUUGGCAACUUUAAGGUCGACACCUGUGGGGAUCGACAGACAGCCCAGGUGUGGGUUGUUUUUAUCACUUCGCUUCAUCAGUGUACUUCUACAUUUUGGCUUGGCCCUGUCAGAUCUUUUCUUCUCUCAAACCAGUGAGAAAAGUGUACAUAUGCUAAUAUAUGUUAAUAUACAGUCGCACGCUGCAUAAGGACACUUUGGGACCACAUAUACGAUGACGGUGGUCCCAUGAGAUUAGUCCCAGAUAGGCUAGGUGUGCAGUGGCUCUACCACCUAGGUUUGUGUAAGUACACUCUGUGAUGUUCGCACAACAACAAAAUUGCCCAAGGAUGCAUUUCUUAGAACGUAUCCCGUCGUUAAGCGACACAUGACCGUGCACACACAUAUACAUGUUUAUAAAAUGGAUCUCAACCCCCCAAAAACCUUCUUUACCUCUUUUCAGAUUUAAAAGCUUAUCACUCACUUCAUUUGAACUCUCUUAACAAUCACAAAGUUGGAGACCAGUGUUGUAACCACAGCACUCAGGAACUAGACUGUAGUUUUUAUUGCCUAUUCUCUGUUGAGAUGCCCAAGUUCUCUUUUUGAAGACAUGUGUGGUUAAAUCCAGCAUCUUUUUUAAUAAAUACAUUUCUUUAAAUGUAAGCCAGGGGGUGUCUGUCAGCUGUGGGGAAACAAA